CGCCUUUACAAAAUUCAAGCAGACAUAUGGUGCAGUAAUGAACUUAACGUUAAAAGUGAUGUUUUUCCGUAACUCGCCAAGAAAACUUUCUUAAAAAACAAGAACCACUGGAUGUGCCAGUGCCAGGCAGCUGUUGUGUGGACCCCGGAGACCAUGGGAAUUAGGAGAUUAAGCCAUUUUUGAGAGCGAAAAGUCUGGUCGCCCACAACUGCUUCGGAAAGAGGGGGAUCUGGAAAGAGGGAGGAGAGGAGAGAAAAGAAAGAGGAAGGAGAAAAGAAAGUGACAGGAAGCCACCUCAUUAAACACUGACAGCGGG